rnacentral:antisense_RNA from 1 species
CUUGACGGAGCCAAGCAGCAACGGCCGUUCCUCGUCCCGGCCUUGGCCAUACGUGGCCAGGAGCGCCUGUGCCUC